rnacentral:lncRNA from 1 species
GUUAACAUCUUGUUUAAAGAAAAAUCACCUUCUACCUGAGAAGUAUAAACUAUUUCAUUGGUUUCAUCGACUUAAGUUUAAUAUAAAAUAUACUCGGAUUAGAAGAAAUUUAUGUAUGGCUGAAAAGCACAGAAUUCCAAAAGUUGGACAAAGACAAGAUUGCAAUGAAAACUAAAAGACAAAAUAAAAAAUGAAA